rnacentral:rRNA from 1 species
UACGGGGGGGGCAAGCGUUGUUCGGAAUUACUGGGCGUAAAGGGCGCGUAGGCGGUUUGCUAAGUUGAAUGUGAAAACUCUGGGCUUAACCCAGAGCCUGCAUUCAAUACUGGCAGGCUGGAGUUCUGGAGGGGAUAGCGGAAUUCCUGGUGUAGCGGUGAAAUGCGUAGAUAUCAGGAGGAAUACCAAUUGCGAAGGCAGCUCGCUGGGACGUUACUGACGCUGAGACGCGAAAGCGUGGGGAGCAAACAGG